GAUCCGGUGGUCCCGAGUGGAAGGGUCAUCGCUCAACGGAUAAAAGGUACGCCGGGGAUAACAGGCUAAUCAUCCUCUAGAGACCCUAUCGACGGGAUGGUUUGGCACCUCGAUGUUGGAUUAUCGCAUCCUGGAACUGUAAGCGGUUCCAAGGGUUUGGCUGUUCGCCAAGAAAGGCGGUACAUGAUCUGAGUUUAGAACGUUGUAAAACAGUUUGGUCCCUAUCUACCGCAGGUGGAAGAAAAUUAAGAGGAGUAAACCCUAGUACGAGAGGACCGGGAAAAGCGAAUCUCUGGUGAAUCGAUUGUUGUACCAAUGGCAUUGUCGAGUAGCUAUAUUCGUAAUAGAUAAUCGCUGAAAG
rnacentral:rRNA from 1 species